UACUAGUAUUCCAACACUGGCAGUAAAUAUUUUAUCUAUUACCCCCUGAUAACGCAUUACUGUUACGAAAAGAACCUCUUUGUCUUCUGUGUUCUAAAAAGAUCAAUACCCAAAAAGAUACCAGUUAUAUUAAGCGUUCCAUUCCAAUAAUUGUCACUUUUGGAAGUUAUAACACCGGUUACCGUUGCAAUAUCUGGCGACGUGCUUACAUAAUUAAUACUUAAAUUUUCCACAUUUUUUGAAUUGAUAACAACGAAGAAUGGAAUUGUCUUUGUUUCUUCCAUUGUUACACUGAUAGAACUGGUUGUUACAUUUACAGACCAUUCUUCUACGAUAGAUUGUUCUGCCAAGAUUCGAUGUAAAAAAAAGAACCAUGUUAUGAGGAUGAGCAUCCUUAAUAAAAUGUGAUUGAUGUGCUGUGUGACAAAGCAUAUAAUUACAAUUAUAAUUAAAAAUUGUAGAUCUUAAUAGAAGUAAAAUGUGAAAAGUUUAUCAGUAUUAGUGAACGUAUUCGUGUCAAGUUGUGGUCAAUAUAUAAAAAAAGGAAGAAGAUAAAAAAACAUUAAGAUUAAUGUCUCACCUGUUUAAUUAAAUGUAGAAUGAAAGAGAUUGUAAGAACACUAAGGUCCUACUUGAUAAAUGUUCUUUACUUUCUUUGGAAAAAAAAUGGUAAUACUGUAUUGUCUUACACCGCAUGAUUAUAUCUAAAUUCCAGUGAUCUUGAUGAUGCAAGCUAACAGUAAAUAAUUUGCGCCUCUGGUCACGUAUUUUGCGUAUCAGUUUCUAUCAGAUUAAUUAAAGAUUCUACAAAGUUUUUAA
rnacentral:lncRNA from 1 species